UACAGAGGGGGCAAGCGUUGUUCGGAAUUACUGGGCGUAAAGGGCGCGUAGGCGGCCUUCUAAGUCGAACGUGAAAUCCCUGGGCUCAACCCAGGAACUGCGUCCGAUAUUGGAAGGCUUGAAUCCGGGAGAGGGAUGCGGAAUUCCAGGUGUAGCGGUGAAAUGCGUAGAUAUCUGGAGGAACACCGGUGGCGAAGGCGGCAUCCUGGACCGGUAUUGACGCUGAGGCGCGAAAGCCAGGGGAGCAAACGGG
rnacentral:rRNA from 1 species